ensembl:lncRNA
UGGGUUCACAUUUCCUUUAUUUGAUUAAAAAAAAAGAGGAAAAUAUUCUUUACAAAAACAGCAGAAAAUGUGGGGAAUCUGCAGGCCCAUAGCCGAGUGGGUGGAGCUAGAGCUGGGGGGCGGAGCUGGAGCCGAGUGGGUGGAGCAAGAUAUGGAUGGGCGGGGUUGUGUGGGUGGAGCCAGAUAUGGUGGGCGGGGCUGGAUCAUAGUGGGCGGGGCUGGAUCUGAGUGGGUGGAGCGGAGUGAAAACGGCAGAAGAAAAGAAAAGAUACAUGCACAGCCUCAACCAAUCAGCAAGCAGAACCACCAUAGCAGUAACUUUUUAGUGUUACCUAUUAGUGCCAUCUAACGUCAGAAUCCACCAUCGCAGUAACACUCUGUGGACUACACCUCCCAGAAUCCACCAUCGCAGUAACACUCUGUGGACUACACCUCCCAGAAUCCACCAUCGCAGUAACACUCUGUGGACUACACCUCCCAGAAUCCACCAUGGCAGUAACACUCUAUUGGACUACACCUCUCAGAAUCCACCAUGGCAGUAACACUCUAUUGGACUACACCUCCCAGAAUCCACCAUCGCAGUAACACACUAUUAGUGCCAUCUAACGCCAGAAAACCUCCAUGGCCACUGACCUUAACCAGUCGACUGUAGGGGGUCAUUAGGUACCAUGACCAUCAAUCAAUGAAUUUGUUUACUAAUUAAUGGUUUUGUUCAAUUUACUUUUGAAAAUACUUAUCGCUCUGUAAAGCGCCUAGAGACAAUUGUAUUGUUAUGGCGCUAUAUAAAUAAAAUUGAAUUGAAUUAUCGUAAAUAUUCUUCGAAGGUCACAACUGUAACCCUGCGUUCAAGUCUAAAAAAAGUGAUUAAGGAGUUGAGGUGAAAUUAAUAUGAGUUGACGUGGCACAUGGUGCGGUGUAGACCAAUGGAUGCCGUGGAGCUCCUGUCCCUAUAACACCAGGGGCAGCUGACUGAUAUCUCCUGGGGAGGUGACUGAUAUCUCCUGGGCAGGUAACUGAUAUCUCCUACAACCCCAGGGGCAGCUGACUGAUAUCUCCUGGGGAGGUGACUGAUAUCUUCUACAACACCAGAGCAGGUGACUGAUAUCUCCUGUGCUACAACGCCUGGGGCAGGUGACUGAUAUCUCCUGUGCCUACAUCACCAGGGAGGUGACUGAUAUCUCCUGGGACAGGUGACUGAUAUCUCCUGUGCUACAACGCCUGGGGCAGGUGACUGAUAUCUCCUGGGGCAGGUGACUGAUAUCUCCUACAACCCCAGAGCAGGUGACUGAUAUCUCCUGGGGCAGGUGACUGAUAUCUCCUGGGGCAGGUGACUGAUAUGUCCUGGGGCAGGUGACUGAUAUCUCCUGGGGCAGCUGACUGAUAUCUUGUGAUUUUACGUCAUCGCAUACGGUGUGUCCUUCCCAAAGCGCACUCUGGCCACCCCCCCAGGUACACCUUGUGGCUAAUUUGCUCGUAAUGACGGCCUCUCUGUAAAUACGCUCCAUAGCGGCGGCCCCCAGAACGCCCAGGAGGACCCCUGUCUUCAGCACACACACACACACACACCACACACACACACACACACACCACCCACACACACACACACACACACACACACCACACACACACACACACACCACACACACACACACACACACACACACAC